UUUCUGCAGGUGAUUGCUGGCUCCUAGCGGCCAUUGCUUCCCUAACCCUCAAUGAAGACGUUUUGGCUCGUGUCGUUCCAUCCAACCAGGGCUUUGGGCAAGACUAUGCUGGAAUUUUCCACUUUCAGUUGUGGCAGUUUGGGGAAUGGGUGGAUGUGGUGGUGGAUGAUCGAUUGGCCACUCGAGAUGGAGAACUGCUGUUUGUUCAUUCCGCCACAGGCUCAGAGUUCUGGAGCGCCCUGCUGGAGAAGGCCUAUGCUAAAGUGAAUGGAUGUUAUGAAGCUCUGUCUGGAGGUUCCACCACAGAAGGUUUUGAGGAUUUCACCGGUGGGAUUGCCGAAAUUUACGAGUUGAAAUGCGCCCCGUCCAACAUUUUCCAAAUCAUCAGGAAGGCCCU